rnacentral:lncRNA from 1 species
CCUGGGCAUGAGAUAAAACACGAGGUCAUCUGCAAUGGCACUGGUGCUGUGGCUGUAUCAGCAUGGCUCUGAUGUCCCUUCGGGGCAGGCAACAGUUCAGGGAGGACUUACAAGCAAGCUCUGGAACUUGAAGUCUCAAGAGAUGACAAAUAGUCAAUUCUCAAAAAAUGAAGAAAAGAAAAACUUGUUUCUUCAUGUUUGCUAACCCUAUCUAUAUCUAUGGUUUUGGCCAAUA